rnacentral:lncRNA from 1 species
GGGAAAGCUGAAGCUGAGGGAUUUCCUGGCCAUUUGGGGAGAAUUCUGUUUCACUUUCCGUGGCUCUCUCACCCUGGCUCUGGUUCUCCUGGGAAAGUUAGUAAAUUUCUGAUAAGCAACUUAGUUUGUCUUGGUGCCUGGAGCCUAAGCCUGAGUACAAGCAACUCCAUUUCGGUUUGACUUGUUGGGCCUUGUGUGGAAGCUCGGUCCAAGUCAUGACUCUUACUUUGAUAGUUCGAAAGUUUUCAACAGAGCAAUUCUGCUGAAGUUUCUAAAUGUGUAAGUUCAUCAUCGCCGUACCUCUCCACUUCAUCCCUGAGCACUGAGUCAGGAACAACCAAGCUACUAAGGAAGCGAAGACAGGAGGAUCCUUUGAACCCCAGAGUUCAAGAUUGGCACGAGGAAUGUAGGGAGACCGGGUCUUAAAAAGAAGAGGAAGAAGGAGGAGGAGAGCAAGGAAAAGAAG